ACUCCCCCCGCCCCGCAGCCGGGAAACGUCCAGAACCCCGAAAUGUGGAGAAAACAACCUUCUUUUCACGGGGGCGUGGCCCGCCGGUUGCAGUACGCGAAAUUGGCAAAAUGAUGUAAACAGGGAUGGUCGUCACACCUGAACAAGGGGGUCCCUGGCCCCAGGCCCCAUGCUUUACUGGGCCCUGUUCUGUCCCUCUUCUGGCAUCAUCUCCCAUGGAGAAAAGAAUGUGUUGAAGCCAAGAAGAUGCUCCCCCCGCAAGAAUAUCAUCUCUGCUAGAACAGGGGCUGGAGUGUAACGGCAUGAUCUCGGCUCACUGCACCCUCG
rnacentral:lncRNA from 1 species